GCCGGUGUGUCGGAAUUGGCAGACGAGGCAGACUCAAAAUCUGUUGGUGGCAACACCGUAUGGGUUCAAGUCCCAUCACCGGCACUA
rnacentral:tRNA from 1 species